GGCGAUUUAGCGAAGCGGUCAAACGUGCUGUGUUCAGGUGUUAACCACUCGGUUAUGCCCAUUCGCAGUCCUUCGGGUUCGUGGGUUCGAAUCCCACAGUCGUCA
rfam:Tilletiaria anomala TBC 951 K437scaffold_66, whole genome shotgun sequence.